AUUUCACGAAUGAAAAUAUCAGCUUUUUGAAUCGUAUUUUGUAUACGAACUUAGUUCGUUUUGAGAAAUGUAAUUUUUACCAAUUCGUCGACGUCAUUUCUUAGUUUGAAGCGGAAUUUUUGUACCAACAGGACAGAUAUCGAUCGCGUUACUUUACAAACUCAAAGCGAUCUACUCUUUGAUCUGCCGACGUUCAAGUAGAAAGUCAACUUAUCGACUUCAUUAAUACCACAAACGUUAAAAGUGUAUCGACUUUUCACGGUAAAAGGGUGUUGCGUUCAUUCGUCAAUACCGAUAUUAAAUAUCGAAAACUGAACGGUGAAAAAACGCGACCGAACGAUUAAACGAUUUAAUAGGCGAAACAAUUCUAUGCAUGUAUAAAUAUUACUACCAUUGUAACGUACGUCUCGAGAAUCACGACAUAGAUCAUCAUUGAUCGUGGCACGUUUACCAUUGGAGAAUUGACUUAUUAAUUCGACUUGAAAAUGAAAUAGCUCACGCCUAAUUAGGGUCUAUAAAUGUAUACAACCAAAUAAAAGAUGCGGAAUAAUUAUCAAAUUUUGAUUUAUUUUAUUAUAACAUUAAAAGUACCGAACUCGUUACCUUGAUAGGUUUUAGAUUUUUUCCAACCCUGUGACCCAUUUCUCACCUAUUUUAUUACUUUUUCUACUCUUAAAAACAUAUGUAUUUCUUUAAAUUCCGAAUUUUCUAUUCCUUUUUAAUUUACCUACUGAUUAGUAUCGCAAGUUCACUGGUAGAUGCGGCACUAUGCCCAAAAUAGUAUUUUGCCAAGCUAAUAUCACCGAUACCAUUAGUACCAUCUUUUCACCGCUAGGUGACUAUAAUGUCUCAGAGUCUAUGUUUUGAUAAAAUUCUCGCAGUAGACAAUAGAGAAACAUUUGGACAAAAACCCGAAGUACGGUUAUCAAACUAACCUUGGGAUAAACGUAGAAUCUCACCCAACAACGCAAUCCUGACAAAAGCUGAAAUUCCAUCAUUUACGAGACAGGAUCGAAUAUCUCUAUGGUAAAUACACUCGGAAAACACUGAAUAACCUAACCAAUCUUGUGGCAGAAUACAUUCAAGAAUACAUAGAACUGGAGGAAACUGUUUUAUACAACAUCCAAUUCGACAAGAAGAGGAGAAUAAUUGUGAAAGCCUGCUGAGAAGGAUCGAACGUAUGGAUAAAGUACAAUACCGUUCGUGCCAUCCGGAUGUAUCUGAAUAUAAAUCCCAUAUAUUUGAAAACGAUUACACCAUACAACUCAGCGCUACGGCCAAAUCCUACAGAGGCGAUUAUCGUCCGCCCUGAAAUUUGUAGCGGCGGUUCACAAAUGGGAGACAAUGAACUGCAAAUUCUCUGGAUAUUAGCACACGUGGGUAUUCCUGAGAACAAAGAAACAGACCAACCAUUCAAAGGAGCCACAACCAAACAUACCACCAGACAGUAUGAAGAAGUUACCUCUUACAGAUUGCUACGGUGUGUUGAAAUAUAAAAUAUGGAACGAUUCUGAAAACAAAUCAAAUACUUUACUAUCUUCGUUAAAUCAGACAGAAUAUCUUGAUUUGUUGUAUACUAGACUAUUGGUUGUAUACUAACUUGAUGAAAAGAACGACGAACAGAUUGUAAAAGGAAAGACCUCGCGUUCGCUCGAAUGAUGGAAUCAUUUGUACAAAGUCUUGAUAUAUCAGCCGUUAGAAUAGUAAAAGAUCGUUUUAAAGCGAAUGAUAAAGUAUAUAGCAAUACAUUGUAAUAUUACAUUGUUAUUUCUCUUAUUUUAAUUGUAACAGUAUCAAUAUAUAUUGCAUGAAUGUAUCAAGCUUAUAUACGUAGGAUGAUCAAAGUUCAAAUAAUGAAAUGAAAGUUUCGAUCAACUUUUCAUUUCCGAAAAAGGUUAAUUACAAAUGUAUAUAAAAAUAAUACACGAUAGUAACGAAUGCACAAAUAACAAAUACACGAAAUGCAUGUAAAUUUAAAGAUUUGCGAAUUCUAUCGAAUAGAACGAAGCACUCGCACGAAUAAUAUUUAAUUCCGCGCAAACUACACUUGAAACUAUGAUUAAAGUCGUAUGUGAAUAACUGAAAGUGGAAAGUUUGAAAUGCAUACGCGCGUAAAAUGCUCAAACGUGUGAAUGUAAGAAAUUUAUACUUGUGUACACACGUAUGUGUCUUUUAUAUGGACACGAAGCGAUUAGUUCCACCUAUUCGCUGUUAGAUGGUAUCCCAUGUUCAUCGAAGAAACUGCGGUCAUGGUGGAACGACUUUUAAAAGUUGUCCAAGUAUAUGAUCUUACUAGGGAUGAAGUACAAAAUAGUCAUGACAUGUAACGUUUUUUCGUGUCCCACGUUUGAGUGUCAUCUGAUAUGUAUCUUUGUAUGAAAUGUGCGCGCAAUGAUCUUAUCUUAAAUAAAGAUUACAAUGUCGAUCGAACGGCGAAAUAUGCAAAUAUAUAUUACGAUAGUAAAUCAUAAUCGAUAUGCAUGCAUAAUUUCUUCCGAUCGAUCUAUCGUAUCGUGGAAGUGUCAGUUUUAGGUGGGAAGCGCAGGAAGAAGAAGCGUAAACGUUUCAUCUAGAGGUUAACAGGUAAAGAAUCCGAUCAAUAGCUUUUACAUUUGUUUUCAUAUCGUCGAAUUCGUCUACGAUUAGAACAAUGAGCAUUAUUUAGAAGAGUUGUCAUAUAGACACGUAUGUAUAUCUAAUCCGAUCGCUAAAGUUGGUUAAGAGCAAAUAUACGUAUGUAUAACUUCCAUAUACAAUGGCUGACAAGAGUAUUUCAAAUUAAAAUACUUACCGAAGAAAACUUUUAUAUAUAUUAUAUGUAUCGUGUAUUAGCACUGCAAUGACUCAGUAAUGAGACAUGACUAUUAGUGGUUACGUUGAUCAAAUUUAGGAGCAAUUUGAAAAUGUACAAUGUAUAAAAGUUACAAGAUAUCUACUGUAAAUAUAUAUUUACUAGAAAGUUAA